rnacentral:snRNA from 1 species
AUACCUUUCUCGGCCUCUUGGCUAAGAUCAAGUGUAGUAUCUGUUCUUAUCAGUUUAAUAUCUGAUACGUGGAUCUACGGAUCCAUGAGAUAUUAAGUUAAUCUUUUGUGGGGAAGAAUUUGUCUAUGUAGCUCUCUAUAUGGACGGUUCUCAUGCGUCGGUCAAGCGUUGCACUAUUGCUUGGAUCAGAUGCACCCCAA